AAUCUUCACAGUCACCUUGAGUGGACAAGGAAAUAUUCAGACCUGGAAGUUAAGUCCUUCCUAUUCCCCUCCAAGGUGUAUAGUAUUAUCUACUCAUAUUCUUUUCUUAGGGGAAGGAUGUAAGGUCUCUGCUUUCUGCAGCAGCUAAUGGCAGCGAUCUUUUUUUAGAAAAGGUUAAAAGCUGCAUGUGCCUGAAAUUUCUCCUUUCACAAAAUCUUGUGCCACCAGGGCCCAAAUUAUCCCUGUGGCCAUGAUUUAAUAGAGAGCUGCCCUGCUUGGAGCCUGAGGAACAGACUCUUUCUGCUGUGGCACUCAAAGUACUUCAAAAACAUUAAUGAAUUAACCCUCACAACACCCCUGUGAAAAAGACUGCAUCUUGUGCAUCUGCAAAGUGAGUGUGAAAUACUUUGGAAAUUUAGGAUGACACUGCUUAUCCCUGCUUCGUCCUGGUGUGUGGGUCUCCCUGUGCCACAGCAGCGUCUGAGUGCCACAGUCCAGUAGUGCGACACAUCACCUACAAGCCUUGAACACAAAGGAUAUUCCUGGCCGAAACCGCUACAUGCAAGGUGCCUGACAGUGGUGAACUGGAGCCAUUUCAUGGACCAUGGACGGAAGACAUUCAGAAGCAUUGCAACUUGGAUGAUGGACGUUUACAGGGAAAGAAAUAAAGGAGUACCUCUGCCCUGUCGCUGAGGCUGGGGGAGGAAAGCGCAUGACAAAGGGGACAAAAGAAGGGUGCUGAGUGUCUUUCUUGGGAUAAUGUGUUGCAUGUCUUUGCAAGUCAGACUCCGGCAGUUGGAGCCCUGGUUCUGACGGUGGGUGGCAGUGCAGAGCAAAUAUUCUCUGCUCCUAGUGGGUGCUUUGAUUAGACACAGGAUUUGCCUUUCUGAGAUAAUUUAGCAAGCGGAGAAAGUACCUGAGUAGUGGAGGUUAAGAGCAGACGGUUAACCAGAACCUCUGCCUCCCAAAGAGGGCAGGAAGAAAAAUCUCUGCUGCAAACUGUCAGGAAUUGCAACUGCUGAAUUCCUCACUCCUUGCCCAUUUAGCAAAGGCAUGCCAGUCUUUUGAGAGGCUGAGACCCUAAACCCAGCAAGUCAGGGGGGAAGCCUUAAAGACUGAUUUGAAAGAGAUAUGAACGUUACUAACCUGGAAUAAAGUGGGAUUAUGUCUUCUCAAUGGCUUUAUUAUGCCUGCAUAUUGCUCUUGAUCUGGUGUCGGUUGUCUUUGGCUCGCCCUGUAGUCUGCUGCAUGCAGCAAGCCAAACACAUCUUCCUCUGAAUGCAAUUUCAGGGAUUUUUUUUCUUUCCUCCCUUUUGAGGGGAACUAGCUGUAUAAGAGAAAAGCGAUGUAUGGAGCUGAGCAGUAUAGUACCCUGCUCUCUGCUCCUUUUAUAUUUGGA